rnacentral:rRNA from 1 species
CCUACGGGUGGCAGCAGUGGGGGAUAUUGCACAAUGGGGGAAACCCUGAUCCAGCAACGCCGCGUGAGUGAAGAAGUAUCUCGGUACGUAAAGCUCUAUCAGCAGUGAAGAAAAUGACGGUAGCUGACUAAGAAGCUCCGGCUAACUACGUGCCAGCAGCCGCGGUAAUACGUAGGGGGCAAGCGUUGUCCGGAUUUACUGGGUGUAAAGGGUGCGUAGGCGGCGUUGCAAGUCAGAAGUGAAAUCCAAUGGCUUAACCAGGGAACUGCUCUUGAAACUGUAGGGCUUGAGUGAGGGAGGGGCAGGCGGAAUUCCCGGUGUAGCGGUGAAAUGCGUAGAGAUUAGGAGGAACACCAGCGGCGAAGGCGGCCUGCUGGGCUUUAACUGACGUUGAGGCUCGAAAGCGUGGGUAGCAAACAGGAUUAGAUACCCUUGUAGUC